CGGGUUGCAGCAGGCGUGAAAACUGUACAAUUCUGGCAAGAGUAAUAAGCGGACCUCGAGUGCCACGAUACAAUUUUGGCAGUCAUGAAGCUUAAAAAGCAACCCACAGCAAGCACCCGUCAAGACCAGUUCCGGCCGCCGGGGUAACACAUGCGGCUCGAUGUGGUAAGCGUUAGUACCUGGUCUUAAGGGUCGGUACCCUGCGGGACAAUUCUCAUGGGAAAUCCAGCAGGUCAAAUGGCGGGUCUUCGGGAGACACUGAUUGCCUCGAGCCCUGGCAGACGUCAGAGGUAAUUCAGGGGUAGGGGCGAAAUCCAGUAAUCCUUGAAGGACCUCCACAGGAGAAGGCGUCUCACCAGAACGGCCCUGUACGGCAAGGGAAUAAACCUAGGCAGCACGAAGCCGGAGUUAGAUACCCGGGUAGUGGCACCAGCAAACGAUAUCUCGUUAGGUGUCAGGCAAGGUGCGACCGUGGUUGGUGCGGUAGGGAAGCCGUGAAGCGAGCCACCUCGGAAGUACGGCCGCAAGCCUGAAACUUAAAGGAAUCGGCGGGGCGCACAAG
rnacentral:rRNA from 1 species